UCCUCUCUUCUCCAGACCAUUUCCGGAGACCUUGUCCCUUACCUCACCUCGCUCAUCAACUCAUCCUUGACCGCUGGCUAUGUCCCUUCCGUCUUCAAACCUAUCGGCUGCCUUUGAUACCGUGAACCAUCAGAUCCUCCUCUCCACCCUCUCCGAGUUGGGCAUCUCCGGCGCGGCCCACGCUUGGAUUGCGUCCUACCUGACAGGUCGCUCCUACCAGGUGGCGAAUCGCAUCUCUGCAUGUCUGGCAGACAUAUCAGUGUGGAUGAUGGAUCACCACCUCAAGCUGAACCUCGGCAAGACGGAGCUGCUCUUCCU
rnacentral:lncRNA from 1 species